AUGGGGAAAAGGGCCAACUGGAUCAUACUAGAUAUAAGAUGCCAAACAGAUACAAGUGCAAAUGAGAAUUCACAAUGAAAUACAUUUAAUUUCUAGGUGCAGCAGAGCCUGUGAGUUGAAGAUGAAGAUCAUUGUGAUAAAUGUUUUCCAAAAACCUGUCACAGAGGAUGGCUGUGAAAACACUAGGAGGACCGCUGUGCAUGUAACAAGCAGAUGAGUACAUACAGAUGAAUGUUCAAGUCCUUAGCAUUGGUGCUUAAAAACUCUUCAUUACCUCAAAGGUGUGGCACACAACAUUUUCGAAGGAAAAAUGAAGAGUUGUUCAAGAAGACGUGCAUUAAAGCAAGUGAUAAAAAUUAAAAUUGUAUUUUAACGUUCAUCUCACAAUAAAUUAUGGACAAAAAUACAUCUUCAAAUUAUUUUAAUUGCUGGGCAAUAAAGUCUGUUCUCUUUAAAAUA